rnacentral:rRNA from 1 species
CCUACGGGAGGCAGCAGUCGAGAAUCAUUCACAAUGGGGGAAACCCUGAUGGUGCGACGCCGCGUGGGGGAAUGAAGGUCUUCGGAUUGUAAACCCCUGUCAUGUGGGAGCAAAUUAAAAAGAUAGUACCACAAGAGGAAGAGACGGCUAACUCUAUGCCAGCAGCCGCGGUAAUACAGAGGUCUCAAGCGUUGUUCGGAAUCACUGGGCGUAAAGCGUGCGUAGGCUGUUUCGUAAGUCGUGUGUGAAAGGCGCGGGCUCAACCCGCGGACGGCACAUGAUACUGCGAGACUAGAGUAAGGGAGGGGGAACCGGAAUUCUCGGUGUAGCAGUGAAAUGCGUAGAUAUCGAGAGGAACACUCGUGGCGAAGGCGGGUUCCUGGACAUUAACUGACGCUGAGGCACGAAGGCCAGGGGAGCGAAAGGGAUUAGAUACCCCAGUAGUC